GGCAGAGCCCGCGAGCUCGUCACUUCCCUUGCAUCCCCGGGCCACGGUUCCCAGGCGGGGCGGAAGUCCUCCUCCGCCCUGCACCGGAGCCGGCCCUUCCCGCAGGCUCUCGUCCCGGCUUAUCCGGGUCAUCGGUGGCCCGGGGCCCGCCGGCGCGGAGCGUCCCUGGAAAGCUCCGAGGCACGUGGCGAAGGAGUGUUGUGAAGCGCUUAGGUGCUGGGUGCGGAGGUGGGAGAAAGGGCCGACGACGCUCCACACCCCGCUGCAGGCUCGGCCGCUCCCAGCCGGCGGGGAAAUCCCCGUCUAGAUUAGCCCUGAGCUAACAUCUGCUGCCAAUCCUCCUCUUUUUGCUGAGGAACACCAGCCCUGACCUCACAUCCGUGCCCAUCUUCCUCUACUUUACAUGUGGGACGCCUACCACAGCAUGGCUUUUGCCAAG
rnacentral:lncRNA from 1 species